GAUGAGCCCGCGUUGGAUUAGCUAGUUGGUGGGGUAAAGGCCUACCAAGGCGACGAUCCAUAGCUGGUCUGAGAGGAUGAUCAGCCACAUUGGGACUGAGACACGGCCCAAACUCCUACGGGAGGCAGCAGUGGGGAAUAUUGGACAAUGGGCGCAAGCCUGAUCCAGCCAUGCCGCGUGAGUGAUGAAGGCCUUAGGGUUGUAAAGCUCUUUCACCGGAGAAGAUAAUGACGGUAUCCGGAGAAGAAGCCCCGGCUAACUUCGUGCCAGCAGCCGCGGUAAUACGAAGGGGGCUAGCGUUGUUCGGAAUUACUGGGCGUAAAGCGCACGUAGGCGGAUAUUUAAGUCAGGGGUGAAAUCCCAGAGCUCAACUCUGGAACUGCCUUUGAUACUGGGUAUCUUGAGUAUGGAAGAGGUAAGUGGAAUUGCGAGUGUAGAGGUGAAAUUCGUAGAUAUUCGCAGGAACACCAGUGGCGAAGGCGGCUUACUGGUCCAUUACUGACGCUGAGGUGCGAAAGCGUGGGGAGCAAACAGGGUUAGAUACCCUGGUAGUCCACGCC
rnacentral:rRNA from 1 species